AGAGGUUUGCCCCUCGUCCUGGACGCAGACGUCUGGAGGCUGGGGAAAGAGAGAGUUCCCAGUUUUCCAGGUUGCAAAAAGAGGUGAUGAGGGGAGGCUGUGUGUGAAAAGAAGGGAAGGAACAAGUGACGGCUGCAGGACCAGCGGAUAAACCACUACGCAAACACCGAAACACAGCCAAGGAAUUAAGGGAUAAUUCGUACAGAAAUCGUUAGCUGUGUGCUUCUUGGAAAUGUGUCUGAAGAAUCAGAACAAAGCAUGGAAGGCCAGAGUCCUUGAAGGAGCUCCAAAUGAUAAAGUCUGCCAUUCAUUUUAAACACUGCGUGCAUUGUGGAAACACAGGUCAAUUUGAAGGCAUUUGUCAGAUUUCCAGUUCCCUCUGCUCCUUUGCAAUGGAAAUUUGCAAUCAAAUCUCUUUGCUGGAGUUAGGAUGUCUGCCUUGAUCAGUUUGUAUGACUCUAUGCCCAAAGCACUGGCCAGGCCGUAACACGAGUGGAUGUGUUUGCCAUGGAAAUAAACACUUGGAAUACAUCUAUAUGUUUCUUGGCUUUUUGAGAAAAAUGAAGAAAAAAGUCUUGGCAUUUAAUUAGGAGUCACUAACCUGAUAAAUAUUGAACAUCAUUUCUUUGUGAGCAGCUCCAUGUGCUCAGAGUACUCUAUGGAUGUAUUCCACAAUUGCACUUAUUUAAUGCCUGUAUCACCUCGUGCCUAUUGUAUUUAUGUUGUCAUCAAUGUCAGAUUUUAAUUAAACAAUUAAAUCACUGUCACAGUAA